UAGGGAAUCUUCGGCAAUGGACGGAAGUCUGACCGAGCAACGCCGCGUGAGUGAAGAAGGUUUUCGGAGCGUAAAGCUCUGUUGUUAGAGAAGAACGUUGGUAGGAGUGGAAAAUCUACCAAGUGACGGUAACUAACCAGAAAGGGACGGCUAACUACGUGCCAGCAGCCGCGGUAAUACGUAGGUCCCGAGCGUUGUCCGGAUUUAUUGGGCGUAAAGCGAGCGCAGGCGGUUCUUUAAGUCUGAAGUUAAAGGCAGUGGCUUAACCAUUGUACGCUUUGGAAACUUGAGGACUUGAGUGCAGAAGGGGAGAGUGGAAUUCCAUGUGUAGCGGUGAAAUGCGUAGAUAUAUGGAGGAACACCGGUGGCGAAAGCGGCUCUCUGGUCUGUAACUGACGCUGAGGCUCGAAAGCGUGGGGAGCAAACAGG
rnacentral:rRNA from 1 species